rnacentral:rRNA from 1 species
UAAGGAAUAUUGCACAAUGGGCGAAAGCCUGAUGCAGCAACGCCGCGUGGGUGAUGAAGGCCUUCGGGUCGUAAAACCCUUUUCUGGGGGAAGAGUAAGGACGGUACCCCAGGAAUAAGCACCGGCUAACUACGUGCCAGCAGCCGCGGUAACACGUAGGGUGCAAGCGUUAUCCGGAUUUACUGGGCGUAAAGCGCGCGCAGGCGGCAUCGUAAGUUGGAUGUGAAAUCUCUCGGCUUAACCGGGAGGCGCCGUUCAAAACUACGAUGCUCGAGGGCAGAAGAGGGGAGUGGAAUUCCCGGUGUAGUGGUAAAAUGCGUAGAUAUCGGGAGGAACACCAGUGGCGAAGGCGACUCCCUGGUCUGCACCUGACGCUGAGGCGCGAAAGCGUGGGGAGCGAACGG